rnacentral:rRNA from 1 species
CCGGCUUACCAACCCGAUGCAAACUGCGAAUACCGGAGAAUGUUAUCACGGGAGACACACGGCGGGUGCUAACGUCCGUCGUGAAGAGGGAAACAACCCAGACCGCCAGCUAAGGUCCCAAAGUCAUGGUUAAGUGGGAAACGAUGUGGGAAGGCCCAGACAGCCAGGAUGUUGGCUUAGAAGCAGCCAUCAUUUAAAGAAAGCGUAAUAGCUCACUGGUCGAGUCGGCCUGCGCGGAAGAUGUAACGGGGCUAAACCAUGCACCGAAGCUGCGGCAGCGACACUGUGUGUUGUUGGGUAGGGGAGCGUUCUGUAAGCCUGUGAAGGUGUGUCGUGAGGCAUGCUGGAGGUAUCAGAAGUGCGAA